ensembl:lncRNA
CUUCCUCCCUUCUUAAAAGUGAAAGAAUUCAGUUGUUUUUUUCUCUCUCCUUUUUCUGUAACAGACCCAUCUUUGGCUGUUUGUGUGGAUGCCAUACAAAGACCUCUCAAUAUAGACCUACAGGACAUCUGAACUAUAGGCCCUCCCUUGCUGUACUGACACUGACUGUGAAACUCUGGGACAGCAAACACACAAGCCUGGCAGAAAAUGUGUUGGUGUGUGGAGUUGUGUAUGUGGUUCUGGAAGUACCAGGUGAGGAAAGUUCAACUCUUCCCAGCUGAGCCAAAUUAAGAGGGCAGGGCA